AGCGAACGCUGGCGGCAGGCCUAACACAUGCAAGUCGAACGAAGCCUUCGGGCUUAGUGGCGGACGGGUGAGUAACACGUGGGAACGUACCUUUUGGUUCGGAACAACUCAGGGAAACUUGAGCUAAUACCGGAUGAGCCCUUAGGGGGAAAGAUUUAUCGCCGAAAGAGCGGCCCGCGUUAGAUUAGCUAGUUGGUGAGGUAAAGGCUCACCAAGGCAACGAUCUAUAGCUGGUCCGAGAGGAUGAUCAGCCACACUGGGACUGAGACACGGCCCAGACUCCUACGGGAGGCAGCAGUGGGGAAUCUUGCGCAAUGGGCGAAAGCCUGACGCAGCCAUGCCGCGUGAAUGAUGAAGGUCUUAGGAUUGUAAAAUUCUUUUACCAGGGACGAUAAUGACGGUACCUGGAGAAAAAGCCCCGGCUAACUUCGUGCCAGCCGCCGCGGUAAGAC
rnacentral:rRNA from 1 species